AGUGAACGCUGGCGGUAGGCCUAACACAUGCAAGUCGAGCGGCAGCACAGUAAGAGCUUGCUCUUACGGGUGGCGAGUGGCGGACGGGUGAGGAAUACAUCGGAAACUACUUUUUCGUGGGGGAUAACGUAGGGAAACUUACGCUAAUACCGCAUACGACCUACGGGUGAAAGCAGGGGAUCUUCGGACCUUGCGCGAUUGAAUGAGCCGAUGUCGGAUUAGCUAGUUGGCGGGGUAAAGGCCCACCAAGGCGACGAUCCGUAGCUGGUCUGAGAGGAUGAUCAGCCACACUGGAACUGAGACACGGUCCAGACUCCUACGGGAGGCAGCAGUGGGGAAUAUUGGACAAUGGGGGCAAGCCUGAUCCAGCAAUACCGCGUGGGUGAAGAAGGCGUUCGGGUUGUAAAGCCCUUUUGUUGGGAAAGAAAAGCAGCAGGUUAAUACCGCGCUGUUCUGACGGUACCCAAAGAAUAAGCACCGGCUAACUUCGUG
rnacentral:rRNA from 1 species